rnacentral:tRNA from 1 species
GACGAUGUGCCCGAGUUUGGCCGAAGGGAACGGAUUGCAAACCCGUACAACCGUGGGUUCGAAUCCCAUCAUCGUCUCCA